UACGUAGGGUGCAAGCGUUGUCCGGAAUUAUUGGGCGUAAAGAGCUCGUAGGCGGUUUGUCGCGUCGUCCGUGAAGACUCACAGCUUAACUGUGAGCUUGCGGUCGAUACGGGCAGGCUAGAGUUCGGUAGGGGAGACUGGAAUUCCUGGUGUAGCGGUGAAAUGCGCAGAUAUCAGGAGGAACACCGGUGGCGAAGGCGGGUCUCUGGGCCGAUACUGACGCUGAGGAGCGAAAGCGUGGGGAGCGAACAGG
rnacentral:rRNA from 1 species